UAGUUGGUGGACUAGUCGCAAAGUCAGC
rnacentral:sRNA from 1 species